UGAGAAGUAGCAGCUGGAGCCAACCUUUGUUUUAUUGUUUUAUUUGAUAGGCUGAUUUUAAGCAGGAUUUAAAACGCAAAUUGUGGAGCAAUUAAAUGUUGCUUGUAGUUCAUAGUAUGAAAUAAAAUGUUUGUACUUUUAGACUCUUAACGUUGGGUGACUGAAACUUCCAGUCAAUUGUUUGGCUAUGCCAACCAAGAAAUAAGAUUCCAGUCACCUGCUUGUCUCUGACUGAAGAGGAACCUGUGGCCCAUUUCAGCGAGAGACAGGCCAAUCAGAAUGCACAGCCUUGGAAGGAGGGGACAGAAGCAGACAGAGGAGGGUGCAUUAAAGACUUGAAGUGCUUGGGAUAAAUAAUCAUAUUUCUAUGCACCCACAAUGCUGGAAAAGCACCAUCUGGGACAGGCUGUGGAUUUGCAUUACAAUAUAAAUGGGAAGUUGCUGGAGCUGAAAAGGUGAUGCGAAGUCACUCAGCUACCCCCUCACUCUCUGACAGGUCACAUCUCCCUCCUCACACCAGGUAGCAGGCAGACGCAAGUCACUUUGUUGGUGCACGGUAUGCUGUGUACUCUUGUCACUCGACUGCGCACCCUCCACCUCAUCUCUCUUUUUUUCUUUUUCUUUUUUUGAACAAUCUCCUCAGCUAGAGUAGCCUGAUAGCGUAUGCACUAGUGGCUUCACUUUCAGAUGUGGCUUCACUGAACCUUUAGAGCUCAGUUCAUAUACAAGUAGGUGCAGAGGAGAUGAGGAGACAAGCAAAGAGGAGCUGGUGUGAGAGGUGAUGCUGGUGGCACAAUAAAACCGCUAUAUAACCUGAUUGUGAUUGUGUGAUUUAUACAUAACUUUCUAUCCUUUAAAUGUUCCUGCUCAACAGCAAUAUUGUCAGUCAACGAGGCAUGCAAAUGCAUUUCCACAAUUAAAAUUUUGAAAGCUAAA